rnacentral:rRNA from 1 species
UGGGGAAUAUUGCACAAUGGGCGCAAGCCUGAUGCAGCCAUGCCGCGUGUAUGAAGAAGGCCUUCGGGUUGUAAAGUACUUUCAGCGGGGAGGAAGGGAGUAAAGUUAAUACCUUUGCUCAUUGACGUUACCCGCAGAAGAAGCACCGGCUAACUCCGUGCCAGCAGCCGCGGUAAUACGGAGGGUGCAAGCGUUAAUCGGAAUUACUGGGCGUAAAGCGCACGCAUGCGGUUUGUUAAGUCAGAUGUGAAAUCCCCGGGCUCAACCUGGGAACUGCAUCUGAUACUGGCAAGCUUGAGUCUCGUAGAGGGGGGUAGAAUUCCAGGUGUAGCGGUGAAAUGCGUAGAGAUCUGGAGGAGUACCGGUGGCGAAGGCGGCCCCCUGGACGAAGACUGACGCUCAGGUGCGAAAGCGUGGGGAGCAAACAGG